UUAAUUGAAUUAUUGACCAUUUAAUCUGAGAAUCAUGUUGCUCUAAAUGAGCAAACGAAAAGUGUGCUAUUGAGUAUGCUCAAUACAAGCAUGCCAAGAAGCAAUUACAUUUGCGAGCAAUAGGCAUGCUAGAUUUAAACAUGCGCAAAGCAAACAUUAUAAAUACACGUGCAAUUUUAUAGCGUGCUUUUCUCGCUCUCUGCCAGUUCAAACAAAGUCAUGGAUAAUCAAACAGCUCUCCGUUUGGAGAUGAAUAAGAUCAUGCUUUGCUGGUUAUGAAAUGUAUCGAGAAGCUUAUAUCAGGUUGCCCCAGAACCUGGUCGCUUAGAAUUCUGAAUUUUAUUUAAUUCUGUGAGAUAUAGAGAGCUAAAUUCAUCAAGGUAAACGCAACAGCUAUAUCUUAGUUGGCAGAUGGGAAACGCUUAUUUCAGGGUUUGUUACUUACUGUAAAUAAAAGCAAACAAACAACAUGG